rnacentral:misc_RNA from 1 species
GAUCCCAAGCCUUCUGGCGAUCUUUUAUCAAUAAGGCCCGCAUGGAUUUUAAAGAAAGGGAGCUUUAAGGAAAAGAGCUUUUCUUUUUGAUAAGAGAAGUCCGGGGAAGGUUUUCCGGUUUAUCCCGGAGGGCUUGUAGCUCAGUUGGUUAGAGCGCGCGCUUGAUAAGCGUGAGGUCGGAGGUUCAAGUCCUCCCAGGCCCACCAAUUUAUAUAUCGAUAUCAAUUUUGAGCGCUUGUGAAAUUUUCUCUAUGAAGCUUACUUAUUAAAUAUUUUUAUCCAAGAUAGUUAUAAAUUUUGAGGAAGCUUUUUUAUAAAAUUUCUUUUAAAAUGUGAGAUUUAUCCCUUUUACUUAAGUAUUCAAAGUUAAAGCGGUUUUGAUGCGAAGUUGUCUCAAUUUAGAGAAGCGCGAUUGACAAGUUUUGAACUCUUUAGCCGUUUUUAGGGGGCCGUAGCUCAGCUGGGAGAGCACCUGCUUUGCAAGCAGGGG